rnacentral:rRNA from 1 species
GGACCCGCACAAGCGGUGGAGUAUGUGGUUUAAUUCGAUGCAACACGAAGAACCUUACCAGGGUUUGAAUCAUUUCAAAACUCCUUGAAAGAGGAGCCUCCUUCGGGAUGAAAUGACAGGUGGUGCAUGGCUGUCGUCAGCUCGUGUUGUGAAAUGUCGAGUUAAGUCUCGUAACGAGCGCAACCCAUGUCUCUUGUUGCUCACUGAGUGCUUAAGAGAGACUGCCGACCAACAUCGGAGGAAGGUGUGGAUGAUGUCAAGUCAGCAUGCCCCUUACAUCCUGGGCUACACACGUACUACAAUGGUAGGGACAAUGAGCUGCGAUCCUGCGAAGGCUAGCCAAUCUCAAAAACCCUAUCUCAGUUCGGAUUGUACUCUGCAACUCGAGUACAUGAAGGUGGAAUCGCUAGUAAUCGC